UGGCUCAGAUGGUAAAGCAUCUGCCUGCAACGCGGGAGACCCGGGUUCGAUCCCUGG
rnacentral:tRNA from 1 species